rnacentral:rRNA from 1 species
AAGCGUUGUUCGGAAUUAUUGGGCGUAAAGCGCGUGUAGGCGGUCUGAUUAGUCUGAUGUGAAAGCCCUGGGCUCAACCCAGGAAGUGCAUUGGAUACUGUCAGACUUGAAUACGGGAGAGGGUAGUGGAAUUCCUAGUGUAGGAGUGAAAUCCGUAGAUAUUAGGAGGAACACCGGUGGCGAAGGCGGCUACCUGGACCGAUAUUGACGCUGAGACGCGAAAGCGUGGGUAGCAAACAGGAUUAGAUACCCUGGUAGUCCACGCCGUAAACGAUGAGUACUAGGUGUUGCGGGUAUUGACCCCUGCAGUGCC